rnacentral:rRNA from 1 species
UACGUAGGGGGCAAGCGUUGUCCGGAUUUAUUGGGCGGAAAGAGCGUGUAGGCGGUCUGGUAGGUCCGUUGUGAAAACUCGAGGCUCAACCUCGAGACGCCGAUGGAAACCAUCAGACUAGAGUCCGGAAGAGGAGAGUGGAAUUCCUGGUGUAGCGGUGAAAUGCGCAGAUAUCAGGAAGAACACCCGUGGCUAAGGCGGCUCUCUAGUACGGUACUGACGCUGAGACGCGAAAGCGUGGGGAGCGAACAGG